rnacentral:tRNA from 1 species
CCUUCGAUAGCUCAGCUGGUAGAGCGGAGGACUGUAGUAUAUAAGGAUAUAGUCAUCCUUAGGUCGCUGGUUCGAUUCCGGCUCGAAGGA